ensembl:lncRNA
ACUGUUGGAGAAAAACAAACGCAUGAAAUGAUUUUUGAAUGUCCCAGUAACACGAAUGGGCCUAGUUGUACAAAUACAGAUGUAGCAAUUAAAACGGAUUUGCAGAAGUAUGUUUUAAAAAAUUUUAAUGGCACAAAUGAUACAUAUAAAAUUCGUAAUAUAUUAUAUAGGAAUAAUAUAUUAGAAGAAAACAAUUUAAAUAAAAUAUAUAACAAUAGUAAUGGUUGUUUUGUGUUGAAGAAUGGAAAGGAAAUAUCAAAAAAAAAACGUAUAAACACAAACAAAAGUAAAAUAAGUUAUGCACAUAUAAUAAAAAUAUGGGAGUCCUAUUUAUUUUAUAAAGAGAUGAAUAUCGUUAAAAAAGAAAUAAAAACAGAAAUUUUUUUAAAAAAUAUUUUUUUAACAAUUCCGUUUUUUAGUAGUCAUAACAAUUAUGAUAAUGAUAACAAAAAAUGUAUCAUUAAUAAUAAAAAUUAUAAAAAAGAUUAUGAAUUUUUUGAGGAAAUAUUAACAUGUUUAUUAUUAAAACCGAGUAUAUUUAUAAGUGUACUAAAUAAAUUAUAUUCUUUUUUUUUUGGGGAUUUUUCUUGUUGCUCUGCUUAUGAUAGUAUAACGACUGAUAACAGCGGCAGAACUUUAGUUAAUACAACAUCGUGUUGUCCAAUUUUAUCUACAAGAGAAAAAGAAAAAAAAAAAAAAGCUGAUGUGAAUAGUAUGUAUGUACAUACUUCUUCUGAUGUUCACAACAGUUUAUUUAAUACAAAACAUGGGGAUAGUUAUAAUAGUGUAUUGGGUGAUAUAAAUAAGAGACCUACAACUAGGGAGGUACAUAUAGGAAGUAUUGACAGUGUCACACACUUACCAGAGGAAACAUACGAUGAUAAAAAAGUUCGUAGAUACAUUUUGAAUUAUUUAUUUAAUAUAUAUUAUGAAAAAUAUUUGGGACUAAAAAAUUUGUAUAACACAUUUAAUAUACAUAAUACGUAUAAGUUAAAAUAUUGUAAAGCAGAAAAAAAAUUAUUUAAAUUUAUAUGUUAUGAAAAAGUCGAAUUAGAGAAAAGAAGUAUAUUAUUAAUUAAAAGUAAAAAUGUGAAUGAUGGUUUUUUGUUAGGGGUUGUAAAAAAAUGUGAGCGAGUCGAUGAUUUUUAUUUUAUUUAUUUGGAGUUGAAAAGGUACAGUGGUAAUAGUGGUAAUAGUGGUAAUAGUGGUAAUAGUGUCAGUAGUGUCAGUAAUACAAGUAGUACCAAUAGUACCAAUAGUACCAAUAGUACCAAUAGUACCAAUAGUACCAACAGUAUGGAUAAUAGCGAUAGGCCCUUGGUUUAUGAAGACCUAGACAUAAGCGAAGAUUGCACUGAGGUGUACCUAAACAAUACUAAAAAUAAAAUCAAUUUGUCCUUUUCAGCUACGGAGGAAGGUGUUAAUAGUAAUAAUAUGGAAGGAAAAAAUGAUAGUAACAACAAGUCGGAUAUUCGAAACAAUUGUAACGAAUACGAAGGUGCCACCUUAACUAUUCAUCUAAACACAAUCUCAAAUAGAAUUAAAAAGUCGAUGUUAUAUAUUUUUUCAAAAUAUAAUGAAAAAAUGGAUACAAAUAAGUGUGGUGAUAAUAUAGUAACUGACAUUUUAUUAAACGAAUCGAAUGAUAACAAUAGAAAUGUGCCUAGUUUAAAAAAUAAGAAGCGUUUUGAAGUAUAUAAAAAAUUAAAACAGAAUUACAACAUUUUAGUUAAAG